rnacentral:rRNA from 1 species
UACGUAGGGACCAAGCGUUGUUCGGAUUUACGUGGGCGUAAAGGGCGCGUAGGCGGCGUGGUAAGUCACUUGUGAAAUCUCCGAGCUUAACUCGGAACGGUCAAGUGAUACUGCUGUGCUAGAGUGCAGAAGGGGCAAUCGGAAUUCUUGGUGUAGCGGUGAAAUGCGUAGAUAUCAAGAGGAACACCUGAGGUGAAGACGGGUUGCUGGGCUGACACUGACGCUGAGGCGCGAAAGCUAGGGUAGCAAACGGG